AGCCAGAAGGACCUCUUCGCAAUAUAAUUGGUGGCUUUAAGCUGGUGAUUAAAGGUACAUCACGACAAGGUGAGUUCAAUGCACUACACGAUCCUGGAGACUUCAUUUGCAUUCCAUUGUUACUGGAUUCUAGAACAAUAAGCGGUAUCAUCAGAGACAAUCCGGUGGCUGAAAAACUCUUAAUGACAGAUCUUGCCCGUUGACCACCAAGAGUAUUGCUUUUGUGAUUUUUCGACAUGUUUGAAGUAUUUGGUGAAGGUGGUAAAGUGGGACAUAGAUUAGCAGUCACAGAUUUCACCGAACAAUUUAAGGAAGAUAAUAUUAAACUCACCCAUAAUUUAACAGAAUACAAAUUAUUAGUACAUUAAUGUAAAAAAUAAUGUACCUAAGAAAAUUAUUAGGAGAUAAAAUGAAUCAAUUAAGAGGAUAUUUAAUCUGUAUACAUUACUACUAUUAUAUUAUUCAACUCUUCAAAUAUGUUACUGCUAGAAUAUUAUUAAACAAGGUCAAAAUCUAAAUGGUAAAUUAAAAAUCCAGAUGUUUAACCAAUAGUUUUAAAAAAUAAAAUAUUUAAAUUAAAUUAAUAUGAACUUUUUACAGAAUAAUUUGUUUAUUCAAAUUUUGUAUUUAAAACAAUUGUAUAUUAAUUUGUUAAAGUUUCCUAAAGGUUAUUUAGCAUUCAAUUAACAUUUUGCAAAUAAUUAAUUUUCUUAAUACUAAAUAAUAAAUAUAGAUGAUUAAAGAAAAAUAAUUAUUAUUGAUAUGCAUAAAAAAAAUCAGUGAAUUGCGACUAAAUAAUUAAUACCUACUCUAAAAAAUAAAUUUCAAGUGUGCGCAGAUUAGAUAAACAGCUAAUAAAUUAUCACUGAUAAUUUACAUUUGAAAAUAAACUUGAAAUAUACUUUUGUAUGACAAAAUAUGAAUAUUGUCUAAUUUUAAAACACAUGAUAAAAAUUUUAAUUACCAAUAUUUAGAGUACUACGAUCUUUAUAUUUUAAUCUUAGAUAACACCUCUUUAAAAAUAACUAUAACAGUAAAUUAAAUAUUAUAUUAUUUAAUGUGCAUUCACUGUGUGGUUGAUUAAACCAAUGAAGAAAUAAUUCUUCAAUAUUUAAUUAAUUACAAAAUGUGACUACAUCUGCAGAACAGCAAUUUGAAUAUAUUAUACAAACAGGGGGGAGGAAGCAGAAGACAGAGAGAUGGAGGAAAAAUUGUUUUACUCAAUGGUCUUAAAGGCCCGAAAACCAAAAAUAUAUAUUUAUCAAAUCUGAACAGAAUAAUACACACAAGCUAUAUUUUGGAUAGCUUUUAACAAGUAGCGCACUUCUAACAUUUGUAAACUUCAUAAAUGUAAUUGUUAAAUGCUGCAAGUUAAAAGCCUAUAUAAAAUUAUUUUAGUUAUACAUACAUAGUCGUUUAUAAAAAAAUAAAACUUGGUAAUUUCACUGUGAUUUGUAUGAUCUAAGAUAAAAUAAUGGAUCUAUAGGAGUAUUUAUUCAAUACCUUUAUAAAUUAAAUAUAAUGCGGUGAUAUAAAUACUUCAACAGUACCUAUUUAAGAAUAAAAUUCAAAAAGAAUGUUACCCUACUCGUAAAUAUAUUUGAUAAAAAUGUAAACAUUAAAAUUGUUUACGUAAUGUUAGAUUUAGUACCUGGUAAUAUUGAUAAUUGUAUGUAUUUUAAAAUGUAUAUAGAUAGUAUUCGUUCAAAUUUAAAUAUCAAUAAAAUAGUUUUUUUUUUAUUGAUAAAUAAUUUGUUAAUCAAUUUUAGUUUAUUUAUACAUUCAUUAUUCAUUAAAUUAAUAGUUAUUAUAUUGUUAGUACGAUUCCAAUUAUUUUGAUUUUUAAAGUAAGAAAGUUGAGGAAUGAGGGAUCAAUAAAAUUUAAAUAAUAUUUAUUGUGGCAAACAAUCAUAGUUUUUACCAAUCAUAAAUUCAACACUAAAAAUUAUUUAAUAACUGAUUUUUGAGAUAGCAUAAACAUAAAGUACAAUUUAAGUUUAAAAAGUGUCAAACCUUGAAAGAAAUUGAUCAAUUGAACGUUAUAUUAAUUGUGUUGUACAAAAAUUCAAAAUAUACAACAAUGAUAAAGUUAACACUUGGGAAAUGUUUUUUAUCUCAAAGUGAAUCUUUAUUAUUUGAUUAUUUGAAACACCAAAUUUGAUGAUGUUCACAUAAUAUUAUUGUUCAAUGCUUUGUAUUAGGUAAAAAAACAUAAUCAAUUUAAAUGUGAUAAUAAUCAAGACUAGACUAAAAUUAAAUGUACAAAAUGGAUAUUUAAAAAAAAAAAUUGAAUCAAAUUAUACUUGAAAAAGAAGAUAGGAAUCUAAUUCUGUUAUUAAAUAUAAAUUUCAAAAUAAUAAUCCCCAAUUCACAAGAGUAGCAUUUAUUUUUAGAGCAAAAACACUAAUGAUAAAACAAAAACUAACGAUUUUUUUUUUAUGAAUGAUCAUCAACUAAAUUUUUUAGAUAUUUCAUUAUUAAAGACUAUUAUAUUAUAAUAGUCAUGCUUUAAAAAUUUUACGUCUUGAGUAAAUAAUACUCAUUUUAUACAUAGUAUAUAAUAUAUUAUUCUCCCACUUCCAAUCGCAUUUUUAAAGCGAAAAAAUAAAAUAAGAAAGAUGUUUUCUAUAUUUCAUUAUUCAGUACAAGAGUAUGAUAAAUAACAUUAAAGCCUUACGG